AUGACAAGGUGGUAUGUGUUUGGGAGAGGAGUUGAAGAUGACACUAUAUACAAAUGGAAGUUCAUGAGAUGGUUGGAUUUGUGUAGAGAGAAGAAAGGGACAACUGAAAGAGGACACAAAGAAGACAAUGGAAAAGGAAAUGAAAAAGAAGUUACAGGUAUAAGAAGAUCAUCAAGACCAGGAGGUCCAGAAUAUUCUCAUAGACCAGGAGAUCUGGAAGUGGUCCAGGAAAUGGUCCUAGAGACUAUGAAGAAUGGAAAUAUUCUCAGAGACCUCUUGUGUGGGAGGGGGCUAGGGAUAGAUGGGAAAGCAUAAAAUUCCUCAAUUUAGGGUUUUGAAUUCAACCGGGGAAUCUGAAGAUCUCUGAUUUGUUUGCCUUUUCCACCAAAUAAAGUCAGAUUUUGCUCA
rnacentral:lncRNA from 1 species